GUGGGAGUAGCUGUCUUCCAGGCACAUAURGAACUUAUCUUGUAGGUGAACAGACCUUUUUUUGUCUUCGGGACGGGUAGACCCCGAUGAACUUGAUAGCGGUGUGUGGUUUUUCGUCGAGGGCAAUUAACUCGACGCUUUUCCAUUCCUUCUUCGGUUGGGAAAACCGGUGGGAUGAGUAAUAUCCACCUUUUUGUUUAUUUAGGGAUACUGAUAAAGACCUCUAGUGUGGGAAAUCUAGAAAGAGAAAAGUUACCGCGGGGAUAACAGCAUUGUCUCCUCGGAGAGAAUACAUUGCAGAGGGGGUUUGUGACCUCGAUUUUGGGUCAUUAGAUUCUGGGUGGUAUAAGAAGCCGCCCUGAGAGGGACUGUUCGUCCUUUAAUUUAUU
rnacentral:rRNA from 1 species